AGCACCAGUCCACAAAGUUCGAAAGAAGAAGCGUCCAGCAAAACCUCAACCCCCGGGGCAGAAGCAGCCAGAAAAUGAACAAGGUCAUCUCUUAAAGUCGAAAGGAGACGUGGCAAUGAUUGCAAGCACUAGUUCGGGGGUGAGAAAGGACAAGGGGAAAGAUCCAAUGCCUAUAGAUAAGACAAUGAAGAGCCAAGAUUGUUCACCAAAGGAUGUGACUGAUGAGGGUGGUGAUAAGUCGCAGGCUGCCGACGGUGUAGGUCUGUGUGAUGGGAAGUUAUGGCGUUGUACGGACAAAGUGGGCUGAUACUACAAACUUUGAAGACAUCGGAAUUUACCUAAUGCGGCAUUUAGAAACUUUCAUGGCGAUGCUUCUUCAAGUUGGAAAUGCAUGCGUGCCAGUUCGAUUAAUAAACAACUUCGAGUUAUGCGAGUGCGAUAUUGUGCUGCAUUGGUUAAUAGGGAAAGGUAAUGAAGUUGGUGACAAUAUUGCAAAGGAGGCCUCAAUGCAUUAUACGGAGGUUUGCAUGAACUCAAAAAUGAAUGUUAACUUGUUGUUGAUUGGUUAAACAAGCAUUUAUUUAUAUUUAUAAGGUUUGAGACAUUACUAACAUUAUUUAAAUGAAUAAUUUUUACUGGUUUUUCCAUAA